rnacentral:rRNA from 1 species
UACGUAGGCGGAUUGGAAAGUAUGGGGUGAAAUCCCAGGGCUCAACCCUGGAACUGCCCUGUAAACUAUCAGUCUAGAGUUCGAGAGAGGUGAGUGGAAUUCCAAGUGUAGAGGUGAAAUUCGUAGAUAUUUGGAGGAACACCAGUGGCGAAGGCGGCUCACUGGCUCGAUACUGACGCUGAGGUACGAAAGUAUGGGGAGCAAACAGGAUUAGAUACCCUGGUAGUCC